UGAGUAACCUGCCCUUGACUCUGGGAUAAGCCUGGGAAACCGGGUCUAAUACCGGAUAUGACUGCCGGCCGCAUGGCCUGGUGGUGGAAAGCUUUAUUGCGGUUUUGGAUGGACUCGCGGCCUAUCAGCUUGUUGGCGGGGUAAUGGCCCACCAAGGCGACGACGGGUAGCCGGCCUGAGAGGGUGACCGGCCACACUGGGACUGAGACACGGCCCAAACUCCUACGGGAGGCAG
rnacentral:rRNA from 1 species